CCCUUAGAUGUUCUGGGCCGCACGCGCGCUACACUGACGAAUGCAACGAGCUUAUAACCUUGGCCGAAAGGUCUGGGUAAUCUCCAAAUUUCGUCGUGAUGGGGAUAGAUUAUUGCAAUUAUUAAUCUUCAACGAGGAAUGCCUAGUAAGCGCAAGUCAUCAGCUUGCGUUGAUUACGUCCCUGCCCUUUGUACACACCGCCCGUCGCUCCUACCGAUGAAUGUUAAGGUGAAUUCUCCGGAUUCGCGGCUCGCAUUGGGCAACCUUUCUGAGCCAACGAAAAAGUUGUGUAAGCCUUGACAUUUAGAGGAAGGAAAAGUCGUAACA
rnacentral:rRNA from 1 species